GGGGGCGAGUGGAUUCGACGGGGAGCGGGUGAGCAGGGGCUGCGAGCCGGGGGUGCCUCGGCAACCCCGUCAACAAGCCGAGGCAAAAGAUAACUGCCGAGACUGCUUACGCCUAUGCGGCUUGAGGGAAAAGCCGCACGUCCCCCUGCUGACGCCGCCUAGGCAGGGAGGGCGUCAACCGGGCGGCUGGGCUUCGGGUUGCGCCUCGGGGCCUGAGGCCGAGACCGAUGACCGGGGCUGGCGCUCCCCGUCCCCUGCCCGUGGGGGGCCGGAGCGCAAGACGAAAAACACGGGCUACGCUCGUAGACGCCCCUGUGGGCCCCUCUCCGGACCCGGGUUCGAAUCCCGGCGCCUCCACCA
rnacentral:tmRNA from 1 species